CCUCCUCACCGACCUCGCCCUCUUCCACCUCAACUCCAACCGCUUCUGCGGCACUGUGCCCCCCACCUUCCGCCGCCUCCGCCUGCUCUACGAGUUGGACCUCAGCAACAACCGCUUCGUCGGCAAGUUCCCGGAGGUGGUGCUCCACCUGCCGGCCCUCCGCUACCUCGACCUCCGCUUCAACGACUUCGAGGGGCCCAUCCCGCCGGCGCUCUUCGAGCGGCCCCUCGAUGCCAUCUUCCUCAACUCCAACCGCCUCCGCGCCGGCAUCCCCGCCACCCUCGGCCACUCUCCGGUGUCCGUCCUCGUGCUCGCCAACAACGACCUCGGCGGGUGCAUCCCCUCCUCCAUUGGUGGCAUGGCCAACACGCUCAACGAGAUCAUCCUCCUCAACGACAACCUCACCGGCUGCAUCCCGACCGAGGUCGGGCUGCUCCGCCGCGUCACCGUUUUCGACGUCAGCUUCAACCGCCUUCAGGGCCCGCUGCCGGAGUCCAUCGCCGGCAUGGUGAGCGUCGAGCAGCUCGACGUUGCGCACAACCGCCUUACGGGGCGCAUCCCCCCGGGCGUAUGCGACCUCCCCAGGCUCCAGAACUUCACCUACUCAUACAACUUCUUCACCGGCCAGCCGCCGUCCUGCGGCCGCGGCGGAAGGUCGGCGGUGUUCGACGGCAAGGCGAACUGUAUCCCCGGCCAGCCGGACCAGCGGUCCCCCAAGCAGUGCUCCUCCGCGGUGGCCCAACCCUUCGAUUGCCGCAAGUCCAAGUGCUGGAGUGGCGGCGUGCCAUCCCCUUACCUCAAGCCACCGUCCCCGCGGCCGACUGCUCCUAGGAGAUGGCCUGUAUACAGUCCGCCGUCUCCGGUGGGGAACAAGCCCGGAAGGCACUACAAGCCAGCACCUCGUACGCCGCCGCCGCCGCCGCAGUACGAAUCAUCGCCUUCGACGAGAUCUCACCCACCGCCGCCGUCAUACUCGCCGAAGCAAUCGCCGCCGCCGUCCUCUUCGGGCUACCAUGCUUCCUCACCGCCACCUGCCCCUCCUGCGCACGACUAUGAACCAGCAAAACCUCCCCACAGCCCAUUGCCACCCACAUUGGUCUCACCUCCUCCAACGCAUCACUAUCAAACGCCUACUCCUCCUGCUCCUGUUCAGCCUCCGACAUAUACCAACCCUCCGUAUCAUACUUCACCACCAUCGCCGUUGUCACCUACAGAGUCGCCUCCGCCGCCGCCCCUCAAGUCACCAUCGCCACUGCCGACACCAGUGCCUGCCUCCCCGCCGCCGUCGCAAAAGCCAUGGCAAGCUCCACCACCACCGGUACACUCCUCACCGCAGCCAUCACCCAAGUAUGCUCCUCCCCCGUUCGAACAUUUGUCGUCACCACCACCUCCUCCGACCGUGAUGAAGCAAUCUCCUCCGCCGUUGCUUCCACCUCCGGCAGAGCUGCCGCCGCCACCAGCACCGCCCAAGUGCCACGGGAAGGAGCAUCCACCGCCGAUACUGCCGCC
rnacentral:lncRNA from 1 species